AUAAAAUAGUCUCGUUCGUAUGAACAAAUGAUUACAAAAACACCACAUUGCUGAUUUUAAAAGUAGCUUUCCUAAAACAUAUUAACUGUACAAAAUACUUUAUUAAGAAUUAAUAUGUUGUUGCAGAUAAAUGUUUGGGUUCCUAACAAAUAAACAAUAUGGUGUUCACAUGGAAUCAUAAUAAUAAGAAUAACAACAGUAAACUGAAGCCAAAAUUAUGAAAUUGGAAAUAAGUAAAGGCAGAGAAAUACUAGAACUGAAAACUAGCCAUGAAAAUUCAGGACCAACAUCGUAUUGAACUGGAGUCAAGAAAUAAAAGGUCUACAUAAUCUGAUGUGGUGUGUGGUGCGUGGUGGCUGAAUGGUGCUUAAAAAGUUAUACUGAUAAUCUUCUGCAAAUCAAUGUCAUCUACUCGAGCAAAUUUCCACUACGAUAAUAUAAAGGUUGCCAACCAAAGUUACCAACUUCUGCUCAAUAGUAACUAAGGGAGAUGUGGUUGUAAUACAAGUGAUGAGUUAUGGCAGUUCUUAAGUCAUUGUGAAUGAUAUCAAAACUUGACAAUGCAGCAGUAUGGUUCCAUCUUCAUGAUUAAACAGAUUGCGAUAUAUAUUUAAAAGAUUCCAUGUAUGAUAAUAAAGAAUGUGGAAAAUAAACAAUGAUACUGGAGGGCUACUACAUAAUAAAGAACUACUUUAUGGCCUAGAAGUAGUAAAUUCAAAUAUAAUUUCAGUAAAAAAAAGUAUCAUCAUGCAAAACCACCUUCAUACUGAUACAGUACCAAUAUUUAUGGCACCAGCCGACCUCUUAUUGCUUUUGAACUCAAAUUUUUGUAUAUUUAAAAGAUUCUAUGUAUCUAUGUACUAUAAAGAAUGUGGAAAAUAAACAAUGAUACUGGGGAGUUAUACAUAAUAAAGAACUGCUUUAAGGCCUAGAAAUAGUAAAUUCAAAUAUACAUUCGGUUAAAAAUGUAUCAACGCGCAACCACCUUCAUACCGAUACGCUACCAAUAUUUGUGGCACCAGCCGACUUCUUAUUGCUUCUGAACUCCAACUUUUCCACCUGUUUUCAUUCGGUAGAAGAUAUAGUGGAGAAUUCGCAAAAACGUUUAAUAAUGUUAUGAGUAUUGGAUUAUUUGUUUGCGAAAGUAUGGUUUAUGAAAGAGCAUACCGAGAAACCUGGCAACUUUGUCACUUUUUGGCGGAUAAAAAAAGUUUGGAAAGGUUUUUCUUAAAAAAUCUAUGAGAAUAUAAAAAGCAAUCAAUCAGCUUGAUAGUGUAUUUUAUGCAUAAUUGUAAUGUAAUCAAAUAGGUAUCUAUUGUUUUCUUAAAUAUUAUUAAGUCCA